rnacentral:rRNA from 1 species
GUGCCAGCAGCCGCGGUAAUACGUAGGGUGCGAGCGUUGUCCGGAAUUAUUGGGCGUAAAGGGCUCGUAGGCGGUCUGUUGCGUCAGGAGUGAAAACUCGGGGCUUAACCCCGAGCCUGCUUCUGAUACGGGCAGACUAGAGGUAUGCAGGGGAGAACGGAAUUCCUGGUGUAGCGGUGAAAUGCGCAGAUAUCAGGAGGAACACCGGUGGCGAAGGCGGUUCUCUGGGCAUUACCUGACGCUGAGGAGCGAAAGUGUGGGGAGCGAACAGGAUUAGAUACCCUCGUAGUCC